UCACUCUGGUUUCCCUUCAAAACGUAUUAAUCUUUCGCCUUUUACUAAAGAUCCGUGGAGGGGAACACUCAAAUGAGUCCAUAACUUGACUUCGCCCCUAUAAAUGGAGUAGGAC